GCCGGGUGCUGUGGCGCACACCUGUAAUCCCAGCAGCUUGGGAGGCUGAUGCAGAAGAAUCACAAGUUCAAAGCUAGCCUCAGCAAAAGCGAGGCACUAAAUAACUCAGUGAGACCCUGUCUCUA
rnacentral:sRNA from 1 species